UUUAAAUAUGCAAAUUGACAAUAGUUAAAAUUGCAUGCCCGUUUUGGUCAUAUUAAUAGUUGUUGUUUUUUUUGCUUCAUGUGAAAAGGCAGACUAUGCUGACGGUUUCGGCAGGUGUAGACUAAAUUUUCCAUUUUAUUCUCAAUUGUAUUUUAUGAUAUAUUUUGAUAGUUUUAAAAUAUAUUUUGGCUGGUGGGACAUUUACAAUUUUUAUUUUAUUUUGCAGAUUUUCUUUAUAACUGAGGCAUGCAAAUGUGGCAAGAGAAGCUUGUGCAGCAUAACGGCCCUGCCUAGCAAGAUAGAAACCACUAUGUGCACAGAACAAGCAAUCACUGACAGAAUAUAUUAAGGGGCAGCGUCCAAAACCAUCCAUGAGAACAGUAAAGGAUCACUACCCCCCCCCCCCAUUCCGAGCUAUCGUCAUUACUUCUAGAAGUACAGAUGUAGCAGGGUUAACACACAAACUCUUAACUCAAAAUGGUCACAAAAUGUAACAUAUCCAAUAAAUAUAUUUUAUAUAAUAUCAUCUUCAAUUAUAAAACUAAAAAAUCCAGAGCUGGUGGGACAUACAAUAAAAAAUAACCAAGGAUUCACCCACUGGUAAAUUCAUGUGAGAGGAGUAAACCAUAUGACUUCUACAAAUACAGGGGUGGCGGGGACCCCACUUGUUGGAUUUAUCUACAGGUACAUUUUGGUCAGGGUGUGUAGAUUAAUUAGAUAUUUCUCUAGGAAGACGAGUAAUGGCUUCUAUGUAAUUAGGCAAUCCUAGCCUGGAUCACUUUUUGGGAGAACUUGCACAUUACUGAUGAAAUGUGCCCAGUACGACCAGAGCUGAUGUUUUUUUUUAAUGUUACAAAUACUUAUAGGGGUAGAACAGACCGGGGCUGGAAUAGGCAGAUUGUUAUCCUUUUAUAUCAGGCCCUG